rnacentral:rRNA from 1 species
UACGAAGGGGGCUAGCGUUGCUCGGAAUUACUGGGCGUAAAGCGCACGUAGGCGGCUUUCUAAGUCGGGGGUGAAAUCCUGGAGCUCAACUCCAGAACUGCCUUCGAUACUGGAGAGCUCGAGUCCGGGAGAGGUGAGUGGAACUGCGAGUGUAGAGGUGAAAUUCGUAGAAUAUUCGCAAGAACACCAGUGGCGAAGGCGGCUCACUGGCCCGGUACUGACGC